GACGAACGCUGGCGGCGUGCUUAACACAUGCAAGUCGAACGGAAAGGCCUCUUUCGGGGGGUACUCGAGUGGCGAACGGGUGAGUAACACGUGAGUAACCUGCCCUUGACUUUGGGAUAACUUCAGGAAACUGGGGCUAAUACCGGAUAGGAGCUCCUGCUACAUGGUGGGGGUUGGAAAGUUUCGGCGGUUGGGGAUGGACUCGCGGCUUAUCAGCUUGUUGGUGGGGUAGUGGCUUACCAAGGCUUUGACGGGUAGCCGGCCUGAGAGGGUGACCGGCCACAUUGGGACUGAGAUACGGCCCAGACUCCUACGGGAGGCAGCAGUGGGGAAUAUUGCACAAUGGGUGGAAGCCUGAUGCAGCAACGCCGGGUGCGGGAUGACGGACUUCGGGUUGUAAACCGCUUUCGCUCAUGACGAAGCUUUGUGUGACGGUAGUGGGUAAAGAAGCACCGGCUAACUACGUG
rnacentral:rRNA from 1 species